rnacentral:rRNA from 1 species
UACGUAGGGUGCAAGCGUUAAUCGGAAUUACUGGGCGUAAAGGGCGCGUAGGCGGGAUGGCAAGUCGGUCGUGAAAUCCUUCGGCUCAACCGAAGAACGUCGGCCGAUACUGCCGUUCUUGAGGGAUGCAGAGGAGAUUGGAAUUCCCGGUGUAGCGGUGAAAUGUGUAGAGAUCGGGAGGAACACCGGUGGCGAAGGCGGGUCUCUGGGCAAUUCCUGACGCUGAGGCGCGAAAGCGUGGGGAGCAAACGGG